AAUAGAUACCCCGGUAGUCCACGCCGUAAACGAUGAGUGCUAAGUGUUAGGGGGUUUCCGCCCCUUAGUGCUGCAGCUAACGCAUUAAGCACUCCGCCUGGGGAGUACGGUCGCAAGACUGAAACUCAAAGGAAUUGACGGGGGCCCGCACAAGCGGUGGAGCAUGUGGUUUAAUUCGAAGCAACGCGAAGAACCUUACCAGGUCUUGACAUCCCACUGACCGCUAUGGAGACAUAGUUUUCCCUUCGGGGACAGUGGUGACAGGUGGUGCAUGGUUGUCGUCAGCUCGUGUCGUGAGAUGUUGGGUUAAGUCCCGCAACGAGCGCAACCCUUGAUCUUAGUUGCCAUCAUUUAGUUGGGCACUCUAAGGUGACUGCCGGUGACAAACCGGAGGAAGGUGGGGAUGACGUCAAAUCAUCAUGCCCCUUAUGACCUGGGCUACACACGUGCUACAAUGGACGGUACAAACGGUUGCCAACCCGCGAGGGUGAGCUAAUCCGAUAAAACCGUUCUCAGUUCGGAUUGUAGGCUGCAACUCGCCUAC
rnacentral:rRNA from 1 species